rnacentral:tRNA from 1 species
GGAGGGGUACCCAAGCGGCCAAAGGGAGCAGACUGUAAAUCUGCCGUCGUCAUGACUUCGGAGGUUCGAAUCCUCCCCCCUCCACCA